GGUCUGGUGGUGUAAUAGUUAACACGUCUGCUUUGAAUAUCAGAAAUUCAUUGACUUCCAGCAGGAGAUUCCUUGUUCGAAUCAAGGCCAGGCCA